CGCUAUUCUCUUUCUCUCUCCAAAUCUCCCUCUUGCUCUCAGACUGUGUCAGAGGUGAUCGUGAUUGUGAUCAGUACUGUAACCUCUCUCUCUCUCUCUCUCUCUCUCUCUCUCUCCAGAUCUCCCUCUUGCUUUCAAACAUUUUCUCCUCUCAAAAUCUGUCCAUCCUAUUGCUCUCUCUCUCACGAAUUACCCUAAACUUUUGGUAUUCUUUUGAAAGGUUGCUUUGCAUCGGUGGUUCUCGUUAGAAGCGAGGGUACGGACAACCUAGCUGCCGAGGGCAAAACGGCUAUUGUCGAGGAAGUUCUGGUUCUGGUCGAAGCCAUCAAGGACGGAUAGAUGAAAGGGAAGGAAUUCGCAAUCUUAACUCUUCUGCAACUCUGAAUGUUCGGAACAGGGGUUUUCUUGUAAGGGAAGGUGGAAUCCCUCCGUUGGUCGUUCUCUCACCGUCGAGAAGUGCCCGAGCGAAGCACAAGGUGAGUUGAUCCUAACUUUGAAUUUGGUUGUGCGACUCCACAGGCUGAAACAUUACUUGGGUAUCUGAGAGAACCGAGGCAAGAGGCAUCCUCUUCUAAUCCUGUGGACAGUCUGUAAACCAUGGACUGACUCGUGGGGUCAUCUAAACUAAAGAUUUUGAUCAUGCAUGUCUUGGUGGUUUCAAAAUGGAUUUAGGUUGUGAUCCUGGGUUUUGUUUUGUUUUGUUUUGUUUGGGACAGCCAAAUUUCUACUAAAACACACAAAAGAGUUUUGAUUGAGGCCUUUCAAUGGUAUCUAGUAGGGAAGUAGUGAGUGUGAGAUAGAACUGGAAGAAGGGGGCUUGAGUUAUAUUUCUGACAGACUGUGUUGAAUGUGUUGGGGUGGUGUGAUAUAAUCAUGUAAAUGGUCCAAUGAAACCUUUACUACAUUUAUAAAUGUGUUGGGUGACUUGUGUCUUUCUGUUGAUCUAUCCUUUCUCGUUGACCAGAUGAUUGGAUCCUCAUCCUAUCCAUAACAUUAACAUUGAAGGGCACCUCUCUCUCUGUUUUUUGCAUCUUUGUUUCAUGUGUGCACCAUCAUGUGAUUUGUUUGGGUUAUGGCUUUAUCUAUGAUCUCUACAUUGAUUUUGUUAUUUGAUAAAACUACAGAGUUACAUUGUGUUUCUUUUUUUUCUUCGAAGGUUCUCUUAUAUUUUGUGAUCAAGUACAGUCAUCCUUUUUCAAUACAUGCAUUGUGAUAUAUCAGUUCUGGUUUUAGAGAUAUAUUGUAGUUUCUAAUGGGUGUCUACUGAUUAAUAUCAUAAUUAACUCAUCUUCUGAAAUAUGUUGGUAUAGUACUAGUACUGAAUUCUGUCCAAGUCGAACUUUCCUCAUUAAACUAGGAUUCUUUAAUAUCUUCUAUUUCAACCAUCAGAAACUACGGAGGUUGUACUGUGGUAUCCAUCCUGAUUAAUAGACCACUUGGUUUUCUUUUGAGCCAAUUAUGACUUUUAGUUAUUGAAGUGACUGAAGUUCUCUGUUUAAGCAAUCCUUGCUCGGAUUGGAUUUAAUCAAAGCUUAGAAAUCUGUGCAUUAGAUUAAUCUAAGAUUUUAAUAUCAUGUUUCUUCAUUAAACUAGCAUUCGACCAAGGUUUGGUCAAAAUCUGAGUUUCUAGAUUGGUUUGGUGGGAUUUCUCUUGAAUUCUUGGGUUUUCUCUUGAAUUCUAGAAUAUUUAUUGAUUUGUUUGUUGCAGGUUUUGAAAACGUAGUCUUUAGGUGACUGGGACCCACAUUAUAAUCUUUAGAUUGGGCUGGAGGUUGCUUCGAUGUUAAUGAUGAUGCCAUGGCCAUAUUUGGUACAAUCCUAUGUAGCUGCACAACUUUAAGGAUCAAUAUUAGCAAUUAAUAUAUAUUUGGCGUUGAGAAGAGGGAUUUCUUUGGGUUAGCACCAAUAGGUUCAGACAAACAAGUAUUUGGGAUGGAGUUUUUUUUAUCAUUGGUUUUUGUACUAUGUUUGUAGAAAAUGUAAUGAAACAAAUGGAUUUAUGAUUGUAUACAUUUUAGUUUUUAAAAGUUGAAUGAAAACAAUGAAUUCUUAUGUCC